GAAGAACGAACAGAUACACCGAGCAUAAGCAGAAAAGUUUCGAGUCAAAGAGGAAAAGUUGGAAUCAAAGGCGGAAAAGGAAACGAAAAGAGAAGCGCCAUUGACAAAUUACUGAAGGCUUUACACAGGUCCAUCAAAACGAGAAGGUACUUUAUUCUCAACAGUAUUCCGACAGCACUUGGCUCUCAGGCAUUUUGAAAGUUCUCAACAAUGCCGUUUCGGAGCACAAAAACUAGCAUCUCAUGAAGGUCCCUAACUUAUAAGCUUUCCCAUGUUCUUACAAGUAAUUAAUUCAAUCCUAGCUAUAAGGUUUCUCCGGCUGCCUAACCUAGUAUAACUUAAUCAAUGAGUCUGAGAAGAACGAAAAAUGGAUAGCUAUACCUGAAUAUAUUAUCUACGCCGGGGUCCAACUGGGUUAUAAUUGUUCAUCAUCAUGCAUGGAAUUGGAGACCCCAUGGCCUAGAACUCACGCGCAAUGGAAACAGUGUUCAACUCUUCAUAACAUUCAGAUGAGUUACAGGGAUGCCAUAUCUUGGAAUCUCAGGCAAUGGGACAGCAGUAUUCAGUUCCAGGCUCCUGAGAAUGUCGUCAUAUACAAG
rnacentral:sRNA from 1 species